CCUACCAAUGGUGGUUACCUGUCUAUACUCUCUAUCUUUUAAAAAAAAAACAACACUACAGAAGUAUCAAUAGCAAAGUUAACAAAACAAGAAGCCAAAACACCAAGUUGUUCCUCUCUUUCACUCAACAAAAGUGGUAUCACUGAAACAACCGACUCGUUUCCUACCGCCCAUUGGAAACAAGAGGCCAUCAUUUCCAAAGCAUCCAGAGGUAGAUGAUGCACCUUCUUCUGUGAAGCGUCCAAAGGGAGAUGACAAUGUGGAUACUUUGGAAAAAAAUUCGUUGCCACCAUCAGAGAAUCCAAAGGAGUUACGAUCAGAAUUUAGAGCUUAUGGCGUGGCUGACCAAAGAGUUAAUGACACAGCCGACGAAAAUGUUGAGGCCAUGGCUAACGGAAAAGUUGAUGCUUUGGCUGAUGGAAAAGGUGACAUUGCGGUGGAUGGUGAAGUUGUCAUACCUGCCC